rnacentral:rRNA from 1 species
UACGUAGGGCGCAAGCGUUGUCCGGAAUUAUUGGGCGUAAAGAGCUCGUAGGCGGUCUGUUACGUCCGCUGUGAAAACCCAGGGCUUAACCCUGGGCUUGCAGUGGAUACGGGCAGACUAGAGGCAGGUAGGGGAGAAUGGAAUUCCCGGUGUAGCGGUGAAAUGCGCAGAUAUCGGGAGGAACACCGGUGGCGAAGGCGGUUCUCUGGGCCUGGACUGACGCUGAGGAGCGAAAGCGUGGGGAGCGAACAGG